GGCGUCCAGAGCCCGCAGCGCGGCGGCCGGGACCGGGACCGGGACCCCGAGCGCGCGGCGGGCAGCGGCGAUGUAUAGGCGGGGAGCAGGCACUGGCCUCUCUCCCUGCCCCGCGGCCGGGCCGAUCCCCCCGUGCCGCCACUCUUGCCCGCGGACUGGCGGGGGCGGCAGGGCCACUCUCCUGGGGACUUGAGGGGGGCCGAGGGGUCCAACUGGGGCCACUUGGGCGGCGAAAUCGGCCUUCCAGGCUAUUCAAUGCCGUGGGCCUGAGGGGAGACGCAGCCCGCCCCCCGUGCGAGCGCCCCUCGCCUCUCACUCGAGCUCCCCGAGGCCCCGGGGCGAGGUGCGGCACAGGCUGCCGGCGCCCGAAGCGGGACUGCAACAGCACUGAGCUCCCGAGUCCACAACUGCGAUCUCAGCCUCCCCCCACGUGCAUGAGGCAGCUGCUGCUUCCCUCCUGCCCUGGUGUCCUGCCUCUGUGCCCACCAAGAUGCGCUUUUGGGAGGUGGAAGAGGUGGAUCUGAACCUGCACCCCAAUCCCGCCGUGCUAUGGAGGAAACUGAAUCCACAUCUCCCACUUCCUGUGCAAUUGUUCUAUAUAAAGCCUCGGCCAUUUUCAAGGAUCUUAACUAAGCUGCAGAAAUGUGGCUAAGCAGAAGACCUCAAAGAUUGUUUCUGAGUGACCAUGGAGUGAACCUUUGAAGACACAACUCGCUUGAACAGCAAAGUAGCUUGUCUAACUAAACAUCAGCUUGUCUAACUAAACGAGAAAUGAGAUACAAUUAAACAGAGCACAAAUACAAAAUCAAAGCUUCAUGUUCUAGCAACUGAUGCAACUAAAUGUAUUAGAUGCUAUUUUGGUAUAAAUAGAUAGAUUUUUGUUAAGUUUCUUGAUAUAUUGUAAAAAAAUAAAGCAGCUUUGUUUACACAAGACCAUAAAUUUGGGAGAAAAGAAAAACAGAAUGAGGGGAACCAGUAUUUCAUAAUGGUGAAGGAAGGUGUGACAGCGAAAAUUAUGUCUGUGUGGUGGUGAAGGUGCUUACUGAACGCUUUGUGAGGAUUAGACCAGGUGUUUCUUGUUGUUUGUUUAUAUAUGGAGCUGCAUGUUGCUGCUAAGAGUUUAAUUGAAGUAAAAAACUAGUGAGGCUAUGUAUGUAGUGAGGUCUUGUAAGAUUAGUGAGGCCUUGAAAGUAGUAAGGCCUUGUAUGUAGUGGCACAGUUAAAAUUAACCUUAUCAGAAAAAUGCAAAGGCUUGUACUGCUAUUGGUCAGUCAUAAGGAAAGUUCAUAGUGUAAGAAUGUGAGUGGCUGCGAGUCAACAGUGUAGCUCAAAAGUUAUAAAUUGGCUAGCACAUCCAGAAAUUAGUGGAAGGGAGACGCAGCAUUGUAAGAGAAGCUACUAAUUUAGAAAUUAGCUGCUGACUUCGAUCCAGUGGGCUCAUGGAUCUCGAGGAGCCCAAGGACUGAAUACCAGGGUCCUUCCUGGUACCCCUCAAACAGCACAGAUCGGGGACACCUGACUUCACUGAGCUUUAUAGAAGAGGAACUUGUUGUACAUCAGGCAUCAGAAGGGACUGCCAAUAAGCUGCCGACACGAAUUGUUAUUGUCGGUCAUUAUUGUCUUGUUAUACUAUGCAUAGUUGUGUGUUUGUUAAGUUAAUAAACCUUUCUUACCUUUUU